rnacentral:misc_RNA from 1 species
UGAAUUCAUAAAGUUCAAGGUUCUUCUCAAGGAGUUAUUGUAAUUUUUUUUAUCCCCUUCUAUGUUUUCUUGGACAAGUUUGAUAAAGUCGUACUUUUUGUUGUGGUGCACCAGUUGUUGGAUGUGAACUUUGUUGAUCAUGAUUGUAGACUAGCUGCUAUUGCUGAACCAGAUACUGUUUUGAUCCUAUUUUCAGUGACAGGGCAACUAUUUAUGGCACAAGAACAAAACGAAUAGUGUGAUAAUGUAGAUGAGAAUCAACAGUACCAUAUCCAUAUUUGUAUUUCAAGUUGUAAGAUAAAAAUGAGUU